AGAGGUGAGUUGAGCCUCAGAUCACACGCCGAGGUAUUUUCAAUUGAUUUUUAUUUUUAUUUUUUUUUCAAUUUAUGCUUUGCAAAAAUCAACUCAUAUUACGAGAGGUGAGUUGAGCCUCGGGUCACAUACCGAGGUAUUUUCAAAAUCUGUUUUACAAAUUUUGUUUUAAAAAUCAACUCAUAUUGCGAGAAGUGAGUUGAGCCUUGGCUCACGUUCUGAGCUAUUUUCAAUUUCUGUUUUUAAUGUUUAGUUUUAAAGAGUCAAUUCAUAUUGCGAGAAAUGAGUUAAGCUCAGGAUCACAUGCCGAGUAAAGAAUAAAGACUGGAAUUAAUCGAAGACACAGAUUUUAUAUCCCUGAAGUUACAGUGAAGCUAAUUGAAGUUGCAGUGGAGCUGAUCGAUGAUAUCAGAUCUUACCUUUCUAAAAGUUGCAGAAGAGAAGACCACAAAUUUUAUCUGACUAAAGCGAUGGAAGAGCAGAUUGAAGCUGUAGAUCUUAUCUUUUUGAAGUCACCUUGGAGUAAAUCGAAGCUACAAGGCAUAUAUCAGAAGAUGCAGUGGAUUUGAUCAAGACAACAAGAUACAGUGGUUUGGAAAGAGACUACCUGGAUGAGAAGAGCAC
rnacentral:lncRNA from 1 species